UAGGAGGAAAAUCCGUCGACUUUAUAAAUCGUGAGGGUUCAAGUCCCUCUAUCCCCAAUACUAUCCCCAA
rnacentral:tRNA from 1 species